rnacentral:lncRNA from 1 species
UUUGUCGUCCAAAUUCAGUAACUUGUUGAAGUGUUCCUUUGAGUAGAUUAGAUUCAGACCGCAAAUGUUUGACCUAAUCUGAGUACCAGUGAAUUCAAUCAGACCCAUUUCCUUCCUAGAUUUUCCUUUCAGACUAGGAUUCCNNNAAGAAGUUCAGGAUAAAUCGGACCAUUUAACAUCUCAAAAUAUCUCUUCCAUCCUUGCUUAAUGAAAUAGGGUUCCACAUCAAAGUUGUUCGCUUUCAAUCCUUCAAAAUCAACCAUCUUCUCC